rnacentral:rRNA from 1 species
GACACAGGGAGGUAGUGACAAGAAAUAACAAUACAGGGCUUUAAGCUUUGUAAUUGGAAUGAUGGGAAUCUAAACCUCUUCCAGAGUAUCAAUUGGAGGGCAAGUCUGGUGCCAGCAGCCGCGGUAAUUCCAGCUCCAAUAGCGUAUAUUAAACUUGUUGCAGUUAAAAAGCUCGUAGUUGAACUUCUGCCGCCAGGACUUCGUUCCCUUUGGGGCUUCGCUUUCCUGGUGGCAUUCUUCCGGUUAAUUUGGGCUUCGGCCCUCUUUUCCCGGUUUUACUUUGAGAAAAUUAGAGUGUUUCAAGCAGGCUUUUGCCUUGAAUACUUCAGCAUGGAAUAAUAAAGUAGGACUUUGGUUCUAUUUUGUUGGUUUCAGAGCCAAAGUAAUGGUUAAUAGGAACAGUUGGGGGCAUUCGUAUUUAACUGUCAGAGGUGAAAUUCUUA